UCGAUGGCUUCAGUGUUUGAGAAAACUAAAAAGACCAGAUGUAGAGUUUUCUUAGAAGUGGUGACUACUUCAACACACCAUUUUCUAAACCGGAACGUAUACCAUUUGCUGAUCGACGACAAGUAAAAUGUUUUAAAUGUGGUAAGUCGGGACACGUGGCACCACAAUGACAAAAUUUUCAAUUGGCCAGCCAAAGAAACCUACCAACCACACGAAUAAACCAGAUCAGAACAGAUGAGAACGAGGAUCAACAGCAACAGAGAGAAAUGACAACGAAAGACCAAGAAUAUCAGGGGUUAACACAACAACUAGACGGCUACUAACUAAUACCAUUUGGAGGAAUUGCAAGAGAACGAAUUCAUUUAAUUGAUACCGGAGCAGGGAUAAAUUUAAUCAAAGAAAAUAAAUCGGACACUAAGAUAUUCAAAUCAGACGAACCUUAAACUUUUUAUAUGGGACAAGACAAAUAUUUCACUGAUAGAUUUGUUAGAAUCAUUAUUUUAGAAACCUAAAGUUGUUCAACCAGGAGAAAGGAGAGUUCAAACUAUCUACCUCGAAGGCAAACCGACGCGAGUAUGCUUCUUCAAUUCUAAUGAGACAAAUCAAGUAAUCUCUAACGAAAUUGAUAAUAGUAAAGACCUAGAACAAAUUGCUAAAUUGAAAACCAUUGUGAGAACAGAUCAUAUAGAACCCGAACUUUGUAUACCGAUUGAAAGGAUUUUGAUUCAUUAUAUCGAUGUGUUCAAUUUAUAGACUGAUCUUUUACCUCGUACAAAUUUGACACAAUACACGAUAACUUUGAAACAAGACAAAAUCAUAAAUACUAAAUCGUGUAGAUCCCCGGAAUGCCAUAAAGCUGAAAUCGAGAAACAAAUGAAAGAAAUGCCAAGUACAAAUAUUAUGGAAGAAUCAGAUUCGCCUUACAAUUCACCCGUUUGGGUAGUACCUAAGAAGUCAGAAAUGGAGAAUUGUGAUAGAUUUCGGAAGACUAAACGAACUAACUGAUCAAGACGCAUAUCGUUUACCAGAUAUCAAAGAUAUUCUUAGUCAGUUAGGAAACGCGAAAUUCUUCUAAGUGCUAGGUCUGUCAUCAGGAUUCCACCGAAUUCCUGAAUCCCAACUCAAAGAAAUACACUGCAUUCUCCACAAAAACAAAGCCACUUCCAUCAUAAUCGCAUGCCAUUUGGACUGAAAAAUACACCCGCAACUUUUCAACGAAUGAUGGACACAGCAUUAGGAGGAUUCGUCAAUGUUAAUUGUUUCGUAUAUUUAGACGACAUUAUAAUUUUCGGAGAUACAAUUCAAAAACAUAAUCAAAAUUUAGCAAAGACUUAGAGAAUUGGGACUCAAGAUACAGCCUGAUAAAUGCGAAUUCCUCAAACCAGAGCUUGAAUAUUUAGGACAUUUAGUAGCAGUCGAAGGAGUUAAACCGAACCCGAAGAAAAUCAAGCCCGUGAAAGAUUUUAGGGCGCCUAGGAACCCAACCGUGGCCAAAUCAUUUUUAGGACUGACCAAUUAUUAUAGAAAAUUUAUACGUAACUUUUCCAAGAUAGCCAAACCAUUGACCGACUUAAUUAAGGAAGAUAUUAGCUUUCACUGGAC